rnacentral:rRNA from 1 species
AGUGAACGCUGGCGGUAGGCCUAACACAUGCAAGUCGAACGGCAGCACAGUAAGAGCUUGCUCUUACGGGUGGCGAGUGGCGGACGGGUGGGAAUACAUCGGAAUCUACUUUUUCGUGGGGGAUAACGUAGGGAAACUUACGCUAAUACCGCAUACGACCUACGGGUGAAAGCAGGGGAUCUUCGGACCUUGCGCGAUUGAAUGAGCCGAUGUCGGAUUAGCUAGUUGGCGGGGUAAAGGCCCACCAAGGCGACGAUCCGUAGCUGGUCUGAGAGGAUGAUCAGCCACACUGGAACUGAGACACGGUCCAGACUCCUACGGGAGGCAGCAGUGGGGAAUAUUGGACAAUGGGCGCAAGCCUGAUCCAGCCAUACCGCGUGGGUGAAGAAGGCCUUCGGGUUGUAAAGCCCUUUUGUUGGGAAAGAAAAGCAGCAGGUUAAUACCCCGCUGUUCUGACGGUACCCAAAGAAUAAGCACCGGCUAACUUCGUG